rnacentral:rRNA from 1 species
GCACGUAGUUAGCCGUGGCUUAUUCGCGAAGUACCGUCAGAUCUUCUUCCUUCGCAAAAGGGGUUUACGACCCGAAGGCCUUCGUCCCCCACGCGGCGUUGCUGCGUCAGGCUUUCGCCCAUUGCGCAAGAUUCUUAG